AUGCUAUGGUCUUACGCUAUCACCUGGAGAACAGAGAAUUGCUGUGGUCCGCAGUUUGGAUCUGAACCUUUUGAACCAGAUGUAUCAAGUCAGGACACAAAAGGCGGUGGUCGAGUUCAUUUGGAUCGGUGGCCAAUAUA